CUCAUGACGAACGCUGGCGGCGUGUUUAACACAUGCAAGUCGAACGGAAAGGCCCUGCUUUUGUGGGGUGCUCGAGUGGCGAACGGGUGAGUAACACGUGAGUAACCUGCCCUUGACUUUGGGAUAACUUCAGGAAACUGGGGCUAAUACCGGAUAGGAGCUCCUGCUGCAUGGUGGGGGUUGGAAAGUUUCGGCGGUUGGGGAUGGACUCGCGGCUUAUCAGCUUGUUGGUGGGGUAGUGGCUUACCAAGGCUUUGACGGGUAGCCGGCCUGAGAGGGUGACCGGCUACAUUGGGACUGAGAUACGGCCCAGACUCCUACGGGAGGCAGCAGUGGGGAAUAUUGCACAAUGGGCGGAAGCCUGAUGCAGCAACGCCGCGUGCGGGAUGACGGCCUUCGGGUUGUAAACCGCUUUCGCCUGUGACGAAGCGUGAGUGACGGUAAUGGGUAAAGAAGCACCGGCUAACUACGUGCCAGCAGCCGCGGUGAUACGUAGGGUGCGAGCGUUGUCCGGAUUUAUUGGGCGUAAAGGGCUCGUAGGUGGUUGAUCGCGUCGGAAGUGUAAUCUUGGGGCUUAACCCUGAGCGUGCUUUCGAUACGGGUUGACUUGAGGAAGGUAGGGGAGAAUGGAAUUCCUGGUGGAGCGGUGGAAUGCGCAGAUAUCAGGAGGAACACCAGUGGCGAAGGCGGUUCUCUGGGCCUUUCCUGACGCUGAGGAGCGAAAGCGUGGGGAGCGAACAGGCUUAGAUACCCUGGUAGUCCACGCUGUAAACGGUGGGUACUAGGUGUGGGGUCCAUUCCACGGGUUCCGUGCCGUAGCUAACGCUUUAAGUACCCCGCCUGGGGAGUACGGCCGCAAGGCUAAAACUCAAAGGAAUUGACGGGGCCCCGCACAAGCGGCGGAGCAUGCGGAUUAAUUCGAUGCAACGCGUAGAACCUUACCUGGGUUUGACAUGGAUCGGGAGUGCUCAGAGAUGGGUGUGCCUCUUUUGGGGUCGGUUCACAGGUGGUGCAUGGCUGUCGUCAGCUCGUGUCGUGAGAUGUUGGGUUAAGUCCUGCAACGAGCGCAACCCUUGUUCACUGUUGCCAGCACGUUAUGGUGGGGACUCAGUGGAGACCGCCGGGGUCAACUCGGAGGAAGGUGGGGAUGACGUCAAGUCAUCAUGCCCCUUAUGUCCAGGGCUUCACGCAUGCUACAAUGGCUGGUACAGAGAGUGGCGAGCCUGUGAGGGUGAGCGAAUCUCGGAAAGCCGGUCUCAGUUCGGAUUGGGGUCUGCAACUCGACCUCAUGAAGUCGGAGUCGCUAGUAAUCGCAGAUCAGCAACGCUGCGGUGAAUACGUUCCCGGGGCUUGUACACACCGCCCGUCAAGUCAUGAAAGUUGGUAACACCCGAAGCCGGUGGCCUAACCGUUGUGGGGGAGCCGUCGAAGGU
rnacentral:rRNA from 1 species